CAAAUUAUUCGGAAUCACGCUGUAAAUGGCGUCAAAACAAAAAUAUUUGCUAGAUUGGUGUGAAGGAUACAAAAAAUAAGGAUAUAGACAGUUUUAACCAAAUCACAUUUGUAUAUAACAAAAUUGUCUAACUUUAGAUCAGCAGGAUAGCAAAUCAUUGUCUAGAUCCAGUUGGUAGCAAGAGGAUAGCUCUACUGAGCAAACAGUGACAAAUUAUUUAAUGGACUUAGAGAUUUGAGUUCUUUCACCAGUGGCACAGAUGAAAAUUUAAAAAGUCAAAUGUUAAAAGACAGGUUUUGAUGUGCCAAAACUCAAAAGAUCAAAAACCUUUGUAAUGUCUUCCGGAUGACCUACUUUUUGCUGUACUAAGGAGUCUUGUUAUUGUACAGG